rnacentral:lncRNA from 1 species
CAAUUUGAGAAGCGGUGAGGGGCAGAAGCGGAACUGAGGAACUGGAGACCGGCGCCGCCGGUUUCAGAAACGCCUCCUUGUUCUUGCCCGGCAGUAUGUAGGUGUCGUUGAGAUCUUCUAAGCUUUUGAAGAGGUUGGGGAGAGAGCCCUCCAUUCCUUCCUCUCUGAGAAGGCUGAUGACGGUGGCAAGCGGCGCAGACAGUAUGUGGAAGAGGAAAUCCACGCAGUCUUUGCCGGCCUCCGCGAACAAGACGCGUCUCACUUUGCUAGUGUCGAUCAACAGCUUCAUGCUCACCGUCGGAUUCGCCAUUAAUCUUUUUGUGUAUCUGAUGGCUUGAUCUUCUUCUUGGGUGGGUUACUCUAUUUCAACUCACCAUUCAUUUAUAUAUAGAGGCUGGCAAACUAGUUCCAUCGGAUUGGUGCAGAUGAAAAGCUUAGUGAAGUAAUAAUGCUUGCGUUUCUAUUUAAUUAUCAUAAAUUCAUAUCCCUCUGCAAUCAUGAGAGAAAUUGGGUUUCCGUUACUGUUGAUAAAUAUUAAGGGAAAUUGUAUGGAGCCAUAAUUAUAGCUGCCAUAAAUACCCUUCAAAUAUUAAUGAUCUAAUUUGAACACUAAUUUGUCCUCCAUUCAACCCAAACGAUUUUCCCAACCCUAAUUCACACAAUUAUUUUAGGAAAUGAUUCCUAUUGAAAUAAACGGUUUUUUCCCCUUAUUUAAAUCAACAACUAUUUUUCAGUACCCUAAAAAAAUAGUUGAAAUUUUUAGGAAUUAAAUUUCUUAUCUCAAACCUUGCCACCCCAUAUUCAACAAAGCAAAACCAAAAGAAAAAGUGGUUGUCUGCCACUAGGCUAAAAGUGGUUGUCUGCCACCAACAGGCUAUAACAAAUGUAGUAUUAUUUCAAAUUAAAAUGUACUCCCUCCGUCCCAGUAAUGUUGUCCCCUUUCUUUUGGGCACGGAGAUUAAGGAGUGUAAAAUUAGUAUUGUAAAAUAAAAGGUCCCACAUGUUUAAGGAAAAGCAAGUAUAGCUUAAGCCCCUCCCCAAACAUGUCUCUCUCUCUCGGCACUCUCUCCCUCAACAUACACUAUGCAGACGCCGCGCCGCCGGCGACACCAUGUUUAUCUCCGGCGACGGCAACAGUAGGUGGAGCAACCUCUCUGAUUCCGCCGAGCAGCAGUGGGAGCAGCCACUGCCGGUCCCAGCCCCCUGUUCUCCCUUUGUCUCUACCAUUUCUCAACUCCGCCCCUCUCCCUUGUCUCCGGCGACCGCUACGAAGCCACAGAGAUACAAGGAAGACUCUUAUAAACAGAAAAUUGAAACACAGAAGGCCCAAAAUUCGGCGACCGCAUGACUAGAAGGUCGCCGUCGUCGCCGCCGCCGAGCCUCAAAUCUCCAGUCUACUUUUCCCUUCAUUCGAGCCCACCAAAGAUAAAACACACCACAGAGCAACACCACCACCACCACAGAAACAAAGAGAUCCACAAAUAACAACAACAAAAAACAAAAAAUAGAAUCUUUUAAUUGUUGAGAGAAACAAAGGAGAGGGAUGAAGAAAAAAAGCCCUAAUUUCUGAAUAAAAAAAAAAAAAACAGAGGAGGAGAGGGCGAAGGCAGGAGGGCGGCGACUAUGGCGCAAGAGGAGUGACAGGCGGGAGAAGCAGCGUCAGGUGAGAGGCGCUGGGGUCGCCGGAAAGAGGAGCCGCGUCGGUGGCUGAAUUAUUGGGGGAGAGCUAGGGCUCGAAAUUUGCAGAAGAGGGGGAAGGGGAGGAGGCGGAGGCGGCGGCGGCGGCGGCGAGCCCUAAUUCAUGGGGGAGCGGAUUUACAGAGGGGGAAGUGGAGGAGGCGGAGGCGGCGGCGGCGGAACAAAGGGGGAAGAGGGAGGCGGCGCCGGUGGAACAGAGGGGAAGUGAGCGGCGGCGCCGGUGGAUUUGCAGAGGGAAAAUGGUGGAGCGACGAGGGAGAAUGAGGGAGAUGGUAGAGAGAGAGAGAGAGAGAGAGAGAGGAGUGAUGUAAUUUGGAGGGGUAAGUUUAAUUAGAAUAUGUUUAAGUGAGAGUUAAUUAGCCUUAAAAUUUACCCAAAAAGGAAAUGGGACAAGAUUAUUGGGACAACCCAAAAAGAAAAGUGGGACAAGAUUAUUGGGACGGAGGGAGUACAAUAUUCAAGAGCCAUAAGGUGUCUCCAACAAUGAUCCCAAUUUUUAGUUUUUAAAUUGCUACACCAUUGCCACAUCAACUUUAGAAAUUCACCUAUUUUUUUUUUCAAAUCUCCUCCAACAAUAAACUAAUUUUUUAUUUUUUCAGGGUCCCACCAUAAUACACACUCCCUCGAUAUAUCUAUAUAUGUAUAUAUUUCUUAAUUAAUUUUAUUUGUAUUAUUAUUUAUAUACUUUAAUAAUAUUUUUAAAUUAAAAUUCUAUAUUUUAAUUAUCUAAUUUAAUAAAAUAAAUUUAAAAUUCUAAAUUAUAAUUAAAAUUACAUUGCAAAAAUUUAAAUUACAUCAAUUGAAAGUACAUAAACAUAAUAAUUCAAACUAAUUUUACUUAAUUGGAGCCAUCUGUGACAUUGAAUUGUGCCCAAAUAUGUUGUGUCAAAUCAUGUUGAAGUUGGAGAUGUGUUUGUUUAUUUGUUAAAUCGUUGUGAUUUUGGAGAUAAUUUUCAAAUGCUUCCCAAUUAUUAGUACCCAUUGGUAUUGGUUGCUGAGAAGUUGCAUCUUCGUCAGACCAGUUGACCGCUUCUUCACCCUCAUCCUCAAUGAUCAUAUUGUGUAAAAUAAUACAUAUGAGCAUUAUAUUGCGAAGGUCUUCCUUGAAAUAAGACCGCGCUGGAUUUCGAACUACGGCAUGAAAUAGUUGGAACUUGAAAGGAUUGUUGGAUGUAAAUUGUGGAGGAAAAUUUGUUCCAGUAGGAGAGUUGAAUGGAAAUUGUUGAGAAUAAAUCGAACCACCAGGAGAGUUGAAUGGAAAUUGUUGAGGAAAAUUCGGAGACAUUUGAUAAUUGUAUGAAAAUUGUUGUUGAGGGUAAGACAUUUGGUGAUAUUGUGAAUUUGAAAAAUAAGAAUUUUGAAAAUUUUGAGAGCUUGAAUUACUUGAGUCGGAAUUUUGAGAGCUUGAAUCCGCCAUUUUAAUUGUAGUGAAAAGAAUUUUGGAAAUAAGAAGAAGAUAGAUUGUUGGGAAGAUGUGUGAAUAAUGAAAAUUGAAGUGAAGUAUAUAUAGAAAAUUUUAAAAAAUUUCCGUUGUUAUUAGAAUUAGCCGUUAUAAAAUUAUAUAUAGCCGUUGCUUUUUUACAAUGCAAAAUAAAACAUUCAAAAUAAAAUACUAGAAUACAAUGCAAAAUAAUUAAAACACAUAUAAUAAAAAAAAAUAAAAAAUAAAAGACCACAAUGUGAAACAACUGAAGCCAUACUCCCAUAUAAUUCAAAUAGCACGCUUUUCAAUGAGAAAAAGUAGGCUAGAAAAGCAAAAAGAAAUGGCUGCCAGAAAAAGUAGAAUUGAAGAAAGUGGAAUUUGGUGGGCUUUGGUUAAGGUUGUCUUUCGUGGAAAGAAGUUUAGAAACCAGUUCUUUGUUUGCUCUUGGUUUCUCGAUUUUUUCGAAGAAACCAGUUCCUAGUUACUCCAAUGCUAAUUCUUUGUUUUAGAAAUUGGAAAAACUUAUCUUUGGAGGCACCCUAAUAUUGAAAACUACCCACUUCAACUAGUAAGUGCAUGCAAAACCACCAAAAUGAUAUUCACUAUACCACAUUUCAUGCCUUAGUGUGUCCUACUUUCAAUUUUGUUUCGUUUCUUUAUAUAUUUUUUUUUGUGGUUUUUGCAAAUAAAAUCACGAACAAUUUUAAAUGUGCAAUUUUAACGUGGCUUUUGAAGUAUGGCGAAUUAAAUCAUAACCUUUUCAAUUUUCGCAAUUUCAUCCCCUCAAUUUUUUCCGGCCACCGGAGUGAUGAGUUGGAGCUUAUGUGGAUUAUUUUUUUUCACGUAAUUAAUUUCUAACUAAGAUUAAAUUGCUGACUAAGAUUAAAACAAAAUCAAAACCUAAUGCUUUUAUUUUACUUCUUUUUCGUCUUUUAUAAAAAUAUAUUUGAUGUGUAUCUUAAGUUAAAGAUCAUGACAAGAUCUUCAAUUUGAUUUAAAAUUCAUUAAAUAUGAAUUUGAAAUAAAUACUUUAUUAUAAUUUAAAAUUUUAAAGUGAUUGUUUUUCUCUCUCCCAUCUCUUUUACAAUAUUCUUUAUUUUUUUCUCUUUCUCCUUAUUUUGUUAUUAUAUUAUUUCCAUUUGUAUCUCUUUCUCCUACAGAAUUUAUAUAUCUUCUCUUCUCUUUUGAUUAAAAAAAACAUAAUAUUUAUUUGUUGAAUUAUUUUUAUCAAAGUAUACAUAUAAAUAUUUAAAUUAANAAUAUCGAGACAAUAUUAUAAAAGUAUUUAUUAAUUUUAAUUUUAAUAGAAAAUAAUAAUCGAUAACAAAAAACUUUCGGUAAAUUUAAUUAUUAUUAUACAAUACUCAUUGAACGUAAUAUUAUACUCCUACUCAUUAAGUUGAUAAAAUUAUUACUAUACACUAUUUUAAAUCAAGUACUAAUAUUUAAAUUAAUAUAUUUUUUGUUAUUAAUUAAUUUGAUUCACAAAUAAUAAUAUUUUUACAUAAUUUCAAAUUUUAAAAAUAAAUAAAUAUAUCGCGGCCGUGUAUCGUACGGGAGGGCGUACUAGUUUAAGGAAAAUGGGGGAUACUGAAAUAAGUUCGACGAAAAAGAAGAAAAAUAAAAGAAUUAGGUUUUGAUUUUAUUUUAAUCUUAGUCAGAAAUUAAUUACGUGAAAAAAAAAUCCACAUAAGCUCCAACUCAUCACUUCGGUGGCCGGAAAAAAUUGAGGGGAUGAAAUUGCAAAAAUUGAAAAGGUUAUGAUUUAAUUUGCCACAUUUUAAAAGUCGCGUUAAAAUUGCAAAUUCAAAAUUGUUCGUGAUUUUAUUUGCAAAAACCUUUAGUUUACUUUUGUGAUUAUUAAUUAGGAUUUAUUCCAUCAAUUUAUGGUAUAUAAUUAUUUUUUAUUAUUUAAUUUCAUUUUGAGUAGCUAAUUAAUAAUUGGUUGAUAAAUUCAAAGCCAUGGUAUAUAUAUAUACUUUUUAAAAAAUUUACUUUUUUGAAAUAAAAAUUAAUUAUUGUCAUAUCCCGACUUUUAAUCAUUGGUCAAAUGUUUAAUUAUUGAUAAUUAGGGUUCAACAUCCAUUAAUAAAAUUUGGUCUUAUGUAUCUGUUGUGAUUUAAUUUUGUUUGAUGUGAUUGAUUUUAUUUAUUUGAAUCCAAUUGAAAUUUAAAGGAUUUUAUGCAUAAGUUUUAAUUCGUGAGUUAAGUGUAGUUAUAUGAAUUACAUGAAUUUUAAAUUUUGCAUGAAGUCAUAAAUUUUUCUUUAAAUGAGAUAUUAUUUUUUUAUUAUCAAUCAAGAGUUAUAUUUUAAUAAUUUUAUUAAAGAUCAUUUUAUUUAUUUAUUAAAGUCACAAGUUUUAUUUAAAUUUUGAUGGUACAUUUUGCCCACUAAUUUUCUUAGUGUGCUUAAUUCACAUCCAUUUGAUACCCACAUGUUUUAAUUAGUUAACCUUAUCUCAUAACCACCCACUUGCCAUAUCCUAUUAAUUUAACUUCUAAAUAUCUACUCAUCAUUAUCCAGCUUCCUCAUUAAGCAACACUAUUAUCUUCCUCUAGAAGCUAAACAUUGUUCUCACCCACCCUUACCGUCUUCUUUGAAAUUUCACAUCUUUUUUUCACCUUCAACUCCCUAACUAAUUUCAAUCAAGAUUCAAGGUAAGUGCGAUUUAUAUUUAUUCAUCUUAUUAGUCAAUUUCAAGAAAUACCUUCAUACACUUAUGCCAUGCAGCAUUUCUGCAGAAUUUUUAUAACAAUUUUGCUUCCUCAAGGUCUACUCCAAAAUUGAACCACCAAACACAAAGCAAACUACUUAUGAUUCUUUAUAUGUUUAUAUGAUUCUGGAAUUUACACAUGUGGUGUUUAUUGUAAGAAAUACACAGAUAGACAAUUACAAAUCUUGAUGAAUAUAAACUCUUAUAUGAAAUCCUACAACUGUUGUCGUUUUGAAUCGUGGCUGAGCCCCUAUGUAGAUGUAUGUGUGAGUGUCGAGAUCGGGGAGGCGGCAGCCCGAUGACUCGUCGUCGGUAGGCGGCUGAGGCAUGAUGGCGGCGGAGCCGCCACUGUUUCUGUUCGGCCGAAAGGGGAGAAAGGGAAGGGGAUAGAAGAUUUCAGUUUUUCGUUGAAUAAAAGAUAUUAUUAGGGCUUCAAUUUAAUUAAUUAUCUUCAUGAAAUUAAUUCGUGGUUAAAUAUUAUCUUCAUGAAAUUAAUUUAUGUCUAAUCCUCUUUCUUUCCGGCUUCUUAAUUCUCACUCUGAGUCAUAAAUCCCGGUUAAUCCAUCCUUAUGGAUAGUGGGCUGUGACAAUUAUAAUUCAUAGUAUUAUAAUAAAUUUUAUUUUUAUAAAAAAUAUUCUUAAAAUAAUAUAUAUAAGCAUGAGAUACAGUGACACAUUAUUGUAAUUACAUCAUUGUAAUUUUCAUCAUCAAUAUUAAUAUUAUAGUGUUUGUACGUAUACGAAAUAUUUAUAGAAAUUAAUGCAAGAGUUCAACGACAACGAGUACGUACAACACAUUCACAAGUUCUCAAAACAACAAUAUUAAUAUGCAAGCGCAGGCCAGAAAGCUUUUACAUAGUUGGAAACAGAAAGUGCAUUAAUUAAGGAUAAACAGAAACUGGAAAUCAGUGGAGCUAGAGACCAAAAUCCGAGACCGACAUUUGUUGAAGUAGCUUAGCAGAAGAGUUCUGUAAGAACAUUCUCGCUCAGAAGAGAAAUCUUCAAUAACUUUAUAGCCUAACCAAAAAAGAAGACCAUCGUCAAAUCAGGUGCUACUAUAAUCCAAAUAAAAGUAUAUAUUAGUACUAAGACAAGAAAGAAAAUAAAUGAGUUAAACAAGAAGAGAUGAUACCUCCUUCAUUCCCAAAUGGACAACUUCUUCCUUCAAAGCACCGAUAUAAUUAACAUUAUUGAGCAGCGCAAUGCCGGAGAUAGUAGACAUGGGUUUGAUCUCCAAAUCAUCCAUCACCAUGUAAGUCACUACACCCUUCACCAAACCGGCGUUUCUCGACACCACUUGCCCAUUUUCCGGUAUUUUUUGAAAGCCUUGCUGAAGUAUGUGAUGGCUAAUGUUUCUAGUGGACACAUCCUUAAGAGCCAGCUGUGGAAGCAAAGAAGCGGAGACCGGUUUGAGAUAGAAGUCCUUUUUCUUGUUGGGUUGUAUGUAGUCGUCGUCGAGAUUUUCUAAGCUUGUGUAGAGGUUGGGCAAGGAGCCCUGCAUCCCUUCCUCUUUGAGCAAGCGAAUGAUGGUGGAAACCGGCAGAGACAGUAUGUUGAAGAGGAAAUCCACGCAGUCUUUGCCGGCCUCCGCGAAUACCACUCGAUUCCUUCUCGUGUCGAUCAGCAGCUUCAUGCUCACCGUCGGUUCCGCCAUGCCUUUUGCUGUCUCAUCUAAUCGAUCAUCACUUGUUGUCUCAUUUAUAUAUUGAUAUUUGGUUGUGGUGUAGCGUGUUUGCACAAACACAAGUUGUGCAGCUGGGAGGCCAACUUGCUGAGAGAUUUCGAGAAUCAUUAAUUGUGAUGGGUUAGGUGGAAUAGGGAGAGCCUUGCCUUGCCUUGCCUAGUCUAAUUCAACAUACUGUAGAGCUCAUUAAUUUCACAGGAAACUAAAAUUAUUUCAAAAUUUUAACUUUAGCAUUGUGCUAAUAGCGGAAAUCAUCACUUGAGAUUCAGAAUAGGAAUGAGAUCUAGAUCUAGAUUCAGAAUAGGAAUAAGCUCAUAAUUAAAGUUUCGAAUAGAAGUUUGUAAACGCAUAUACAACUGCAAUAAAGCCACCUACAUAUUUAGCUUCUAAAUGGACGCAUCACGACAGCCAACAGCCAAACAAAACUUAUCAAAAGGAGAAAUGGAACAUAAGGAAAACAGAUGAGAUAGCAUGCUGUAAUCUGGAUCAACAUUUCUUCAACUCAUCGAUCGCAUCACAGAAGACUCGUGUAAGAACGUUCUUAGUCGUGAGAGAAGUCUUCAACAACUUAAUCGCCUAACGAAAAGGAAGUGAUCACAUUCGAGAUCAUUAAAGUGUUAGAUAUCAAAUACUAUUAACACAAAUACACACGUAUACACUAUGAUAGUUCAUAAACUGUAGAGACAAACUUCAAAAACAUGCUCAUACACUACGGUUUUAUAGGAAUCGUAGUAACAGACUACUAUAAACUACAGUUUUUACUACAUUUAGUUCUCCAGCGUAGUCUAAAAUUAAAAAAUGGCGCUCACGCACUACAGUUCACCAAAAAGACCGUAGUCUAUAUGAAUAAACUACGGUUUUAUAUAAAACCGUAGUUAUAAGGGUGUAGAGAUAGCCUAAAUUUGUAGUAAUGUAUACUAAAUGAAAGAAGCAGAAAAUGAUACCUCAUUCAUUCCUAAAGUGACAACCUUUUCCUCCAAAGCACCAACCUCCUUGACAUUAAACUUAUUGAGCAGAGUAAUGCUGGAGAUAGUAGACAUGGGCUUGAUCACCAAAUCAUCCAUCACCAUGUAUGUCACCACCCCCUUCACCAAACCGCCGCCUUCCGCCGCCUCUACCACCGCGGGAGGAGCCACAUAGGUCAUAGUCGAGCUCAGAACCCCACGGCACGAAGGACAAGUGGCGCGGGGGUCAUCAGAAACAUAAUUGCCACAAUUUCUACUAUUGUAAUUAUAAUUGGUGCACUUGUAAAAUACCCUCUCAAUUUGAGAACCAGUGAGGGCCAGAAGCGGAACUGAGGAACCGGAGACCGGCGCCGCCGGUUUCAGAAACGCCUCCUUGUUCUUGCCCGGGAGUAUGUAGGUGUCGUUGAGAUCUUCUAAGCUUUUGAAGAGGUUGGGGAGAGAGCCCUCCAUUCCUUCCUCUCUGAGAAGGCUGAUGACGGUGGCAAGCGGCGCAGACAGUAUGUGGAAGAGGAAAUCCACGCAGUCUUUGCCGGCCUCCGCGAACAAGACGCGUCUCACUUUGCUAGUGUCGAUCAACAGCUUCAUGCUCACCGUCGGAUUCGCCAUUAAUCUUUUUGUGUAUCUGAUGGCUUGAUCUUCUUCUUGGGUGGGUUACUCUAUUUCAACUCAUCACCAUUCAUUUAUAUAUAGAGAUUAGAUGCUGGCAAACUAGUUCCAUCGGAUUGGUGCAGAUGACAAGC